rnacentral:rRNA from 1 species
AGAAUCAACGCUGGCGGCGUGCCUAACACAUGCAAGUCGAACGAGAAAGUGGAGCAAUCCAUGAGUAAAGUGGCGACCGGGUGAGUAACACGUGACUAACCUACCUUCGAGUGGGGGAUAACAUCGGGAAACCGAUGCUAAUACCGCAUAACAUCGCAAGAUCAAAGCAGCAAUGCGCUGGAAGAGGGGGUCGCGGCUGAUUAGCUAGUUGGCGGGUAACGGCCCACAAGGCGAAGAUCGGUAGCCGGCCUGAGAGGGCGCACGGCCACACUGGAACUGAAACACGGUCCAGACUCCUACGGGAGGCAGCAGUGGGGAAUUUUGCGCAAUGGGGGAAACCCUGACGCAGCAACGCCGCGUGGAGGAUGAAGCCCCGUUGGGGUGUAACUCCUUUCGACCAAGACGAUAAUGACGGUACUGGUGGAAGAGCGACCGGCUAACUCUGCGCCAGCAGCCGC